rnacentral:rRNA from 1 species
GACGAACGCUGGCGGCACGCCUAACACAUGCAAGUCGAACGGACUUAAAAGAGCUUGCUUUUUUAAGUUAGUGGCGGACGGGUGAGUAACACGUGAGCAACCUGCCUCUGAGAGGGGGAUAGCUUCUGGAAACGGAUGGUAAUACCCCAUAAAAUAUAAAUAUCGCAUGAUAGAUAUAUCAAAGAAAUUCGCUCAGAGAUGGGCUCGCGUCUGCUUAGAUAGUUGGUGAGGUAACGGCACACCAAGUCGACGAUCAGUAGCCGGACUGAGAGGUUGAACGGCCACAUUGAGACUGAGACACGGCCCAGACUCCUACGGGAGGGAGCAGUGGGGAAUAUUGCACAAUGGAGGGAACUCUGAUGCAGCGAUGCCGCGUGGAGGAAGAAGGUUUUCGGAUUGUAAACUCCUUUUAUCAGGGACGAUAAUGACGGUACCUGAAGAAAAAGCUCCGGCUAACUACGUG